CAGCGCGCUGCGCCCCAGCACCAGCCGCAGCCUCUACGCCUCGUCCCCGGGCGGCGUGUAUGCCACGCGCUCCUCUGCCGUGCGCCUGCGGAGCAGCGUGCCCGGGGUGCGGCUCCUGCAGGACUCGGUGGACUUCUCGCUGGCCGACGCCAUCAACACCGAGUUCAAGAACACCCGCACCAACGAGAAGGUGGAGCUGCAGGAGCUGAAUGACCGCUUCGCCAACUACAUCGACAAGGUGCGCUUCCUGGAGCAGCAGAAUAAGAUCCUGCUGGCCGAGCUCGAGCAGCUCAAGGGCCAAGGCAAGUCGCGCCUGGGGGACCUCUACGAGGAGGAGAUGCGGGAGCUGCGCCGGCAGGUGGACCAGCUAACCAACGACAAAGCCCGCGUCGAGGUGGAGCGCGACAACCUGGCCGAGGACAUCAUGCGCCUCCGGGAGAAGAGGAGAUGCUUCAGAGAGAGGAAGCCGAAAACACCCUGCAAUCUUUCAGACAGGAUGUUGACAAUGCGUCUCUGGCACGUCUUGACCUUGAACGCAAAGUGGAAUCUUUGCAAGAAGAGAUUGCCUUUUUGAAGAAACUCCACGAAGAGGAAAUCCAGGAGCUGCAGGCUCAGAUUCAGGAACAGCAUGUCCAAAUCGAUGUGGAUGUUUCCAAGCCUGACCUCACGGCUGCCCUGCGUGACGUACGUCAGCAAUAUGAAAGUGUGGCUGCCAAGAACCUGCAGGAGGCAGAAGAAUGGUACAAAUCCAAGUUUGCUGACCUCUCUGAGGCUGCCAACCGGAACAAUGACGCCCUGCGCCAGGCAAAGCAGGAGUCCACUGAGUACCGGAGACAGGUGCAGUCCCUCACCUGUGAAGUGGAUGCCCUUAAAGGAACCAAUGAGUCCCUGGAACGCCAGAUGCGUGAAAUGGAAGAGAACUUUGCCGUUGAAGCUGCUAACUACCAAGACACUAUUGGCCGCCUGCAGGAUGAGAUUCAGAAUAUGAAGGAGGAAAUGGCUCGUCACCUUCGUGAAUACCAAGACCUGCUCAAUGUUAAGAUGGCCCUUGACAUUGAGAUUGCCACCUACAGGAAGCUGCUGGAAGGCGAGGAGAGCAGGAUUUCUCUGCCUCUUCCAAACUUUUCCUCCCUGAACCUGAGGGAAACUAAUCUGGAUUCACUCCCUCUGGUUGAUACCCACUCAAAAAGGACACUUCUGAUUAAGACGGUUGAAACUAGAGAUGGACAGGUUAUCAACGAAACUUCUCAGCAUCACGAUGACCUUGAAUAAAAAUUGCACACACUCAGUGCAGCAAUAUAUUACCAGCAAGAAUAAAAAAGAAAUCCAUAUCUUAAAGAAACAGCUUUCAAGUGCCUUUCUGCAGUUUUUCAGGAGCGCAAGAUAGAUUUGGAAUAGGAAUAAGCUCUAGUUCUUAACAACCGACACUCCUACAAGAUUUAGAAAAAAGUUUACAACAUAAUCUAGUUUACAGAAAAAUCUUGUGCUAGAAUACUUUUUAAAAGGUAUUUUGAAUACCAUUAAAACUGCUUUUUUUUUUCCAGCAAGUAUCCAACCAACUUGGUUCUGCUUCAAUAAAUCUUUG
rnacentral:lncRNA from 1 species